rnacentral:lncRNA from 1 species
GGCCAGAGACGUCACCUACUUGACUGGAGUGGGCAGCGCGUCAUGACCGUCCCAACGCCUAAGCAGCUGAUGCUGCGACGCGGUGACACUCAAAGAAGGACAUGAGUUCACGUGAACUGUUCUCAGACACUGCCUAGAUGACUCCACCCACUUCCUCCUGUGAAUCCUUCAGACCUCAGCUCCAUGCCAGGUCCUGAUCUGCUCUCCCCACUGCAAUCCUUUCCAGAGUCUAACUUGCUUCUGAUGAACUAAGGGAAUGAGUGGACUCCCCAACAGCCUGAGAGGCUCCCCUGCACCUGCAAGGACUGCAACAGAGAAAUGAGAGAAGAUACCGGUUUCCACUGUGUUUAUUACUAAUAUAAAAAAAAGUUAAAAAGAAAAAAAAAUCAUUCUUAGUUCUCCAA